AUUUCCCACACGCUAUAUAUAUAUAUAAUGCGUCCAACUACAACACCCUGCAUUCACUUUGUCACUUCCAUACAUGAGUGUAAUUGGAGGCACUACGAGUUCAAAUAGAAGAGAGAGUAUAUGGAGAGUAACAAUUACUCGGCGGCGCCACACGUACACGGCGGAGACGCAUCUCGACCGUCGCUGGGAUUCCCCCUGGGGACAGCACUGCUCUUAAUAAUCAUAUUCAGCCUAAGCGGAAUCUUCUCAUGUUGCUACCAUUGGGACAAACUCCGCUCCUUCCGUCAAUCUCAAUCUACACCCUCCUCCUCUUCCUCCCCCUCUCAUCCUUCUCUAUCCCCCAUUAAACCCAACCUCAUCUGCACGAGCAAAGGGGACAGCUUGCCGGUCUUGAUGCCGGGGGAUCUGCUUCCCAAAUUCAUAGCCAUGCCAUGUCCCUGCCAGCCUUCCCAUCCGGAAAACAUCCUUGUCACCGUCCAACACCCGCCGCCCAAACCACCGCGCCUUCCGGUGCCUUUCUAUUAAUCAAUUAACUACAAUUCUUCCCUUAAGCUUUCUUUUACUUUCCUUUUCAUUUUUUUUCUUUUAGGAUUUUGCGAAUAAUGCACAUCUGAACUAAUUAAUUCAGAUGUAUUUUUUUCGCAAAAUCCUAUAAACUAACAGAAAUGAAAAUAGAAGGGCAAAUUCGGUACUUAAUUUUCUUUUUCUAUAGAUGUAUGUAUAUACAUGUGGUAUGUAGUUGUAACAAUUUAUGUGAUGAAGAACUAAGAAAAAGGUAAAGAAGAGGAGGUAGAAGGUCAAUUCGUAGAUUAAUUAUGACCAUUUUUUUUUU